rnacentral:rRNA from 4 species
UACAACUUUCAACAACGGAUCUCUUGGUUCUGGCAUCGAUGAAGAACGCAGCGAAAUGCGAUAAGUAGUGUGAAUUGCAGAAUUCAGUGAAUCAUCGAAUCUUUGAACGCACAUUGCGCCCCUUGGUAUUCCAUGGGGCAUGCCUGUUCGAGCGUCAUUU